rnacentral:rRNA from 1 species
GACGAACGCUGGCGGCGUGCUUAACACAUGCAAGUCGAACGGUGAAGCUCCAGCUUGCUGGAGUGGAUCAGUGGCGAACGGGUGAGUAACACGUGAGCAACCUGCCCCUGACUCUGGAAUAAGCGCUGGAAACGGCGUCCAAUACUGGAUACGAGAAGGGUCCGCAUGGGCACUUUCUGGAAAGUUUUUCGGUUGGGGAUGGGCUCGCGGCCUAUCAGCUUGUUGGUGAGGUAAUGGCUCACCAAGGCGACGACGGGUAGCCGGCCUGAGAGGGCGACCGGCCACACUGGGACUGAGACACGGCCCAGACUCCUACGGGAGGCAGCAGUGGGGAAUAUUGCACAAUGGGCGAAAGCCUGAUGCAGCGACGCCGCGUGAGGGAUGACGGCCUUCGGGUUGUAAACCUCUUUCAGCAGGGAAGAAGCGAAAGUGACGGUACCUGCAGAAGAAGCACCGGCUAACUACGUG